GUGAAUGAAGCCAGUAAGCUGCCUCCAUUCUGAGGGCCUCUCAGCGAGCACGGAACUCAUUAUGCUAGCUGCCUGGUGAGCCCCGGAGAUCCACCUUCCCAGCACAAGAUCAUGAACAUGUACCGCCACAAUAUGUCUUCCCCCACAAAGUCUGGGGAUUAGACUCAGGUCCUCAGGUUUGUGUGGCAAGCACAUUUACCAACAGAGCCUCCUCCGCAACCCAUGUGCCGUGGAUGACUUGUUGACCACGGUACUUCACAAAACUGCAAGAGUACCUACCACAAGGCUGGCACAAAUGAUGUCGGGACCACUAGGCCUGCAGAAAGGCUUCAUGGCUAUGCAUCGGACUUCUUUCUCAGCACAGCCAGAUUAAGGGCUUCCUAAGAGAUGAGGAACGCAUUCCAUCUGGGACAGGAAGGUGAAGGCUGUGUGGAAACUGGUUCCUGUGACAGCUGUUAUUCCUGGGCUCUCUCAACCUUUGCAUUCCAGGAGCCUCCAGGACUGAAUCUGGGUUUUCCCGUGAGCGAUACCAGCAGUCCAGUUCAAAAGUGUCACCAAACACGAAUCAGCAGCAGCAGUGGCAGGAUCCAGCAGAAACUGCCAGGCCUCCACCUAAACAGCAAGAGUCAACGGGAUCGACCAGGACCAACUGGAAUGCCAGGAGUUCUCUGCCGUGCCUCUCUCCACGAAGUGAAGACGAGAGACCAAUGAAGAGUUGUACAGCUAGCUCUGCAGGUGCCCUGUCACUGUCUGUUGAGUCCUAUUUAUAUUCUCUCCAAAUGU